rnacentral:rRNA from 1 species
GCGGAAGGAUCAUUAAAUAAUUUAGAUGGCCUCCUAGAACUUGUUCUAGUUAGGUUCAUUCUUUUUUACUGUGAACUGUUUUAAUUUUCAGCGUUUGAGGAAUGUCUUUUAGUCAUAGGGAUAGACUAUUAGAAUGUUAACCGAGCUGAAGUCAGGUUUAGACCUGGUAUCCUAUUAAUUAUUUACCAAAAGAAUUCAGUAUUAUUAUUGUAACAUAAGCGUAAAAAACUUAUAAAACAACUUUUAACAACGGAUCUCUUGGUUCUCGCAUCGAUGAAGAACGUAGCAAAGUGCGAUAACUAGUGUGAAUUGCAUAUUCAGUGAAUCAUCGAGUCUUUGAACGCAACUUGCGCUCAAUGGUAUUCCAUUGAGCACGCCUGUUUCAGUAUCAAAAACACCCCACAUUCAUAAUUUUGUUGUGAAUGGAACUGAGAAUUUCGACUUGUUUGAAUUCUUUAAACUUAUUAGGCCUGAACUAUUGUUCUUUCUGCCUGAACAUUUUUUUAAUAUAAAGGAAUGCUCUAGUAUUAAGACUAUCUCUGGGGCCUCCCAAAUAAAACUUUCUUAAAUUUGAUCUGAA